rnacentral:rRNA from 1 species
GACGAACGCUGGCGGCGUGCUUAACACAUGCAAGUCGAACGGAAAGGUCCUGCUUUUGUGGGGUGCUCGAGUGGCGAACGGGUGAGUAACACGUGAGUAACCUGCCCUUGACUUUGGGAUAACUUCAGGAAACUGGGGCUAAUACCGGAUAGGAGCUCCUGCUGCAUGGUGGGGGUUGGAAAGUUUCGGCGGUUGGGGAUGGACUCGCGGCUUAUCAGCUUGUUGGUGGGGUAGUGGCUUACCAAGGCUUUGACGGGUAGCCGGCCUGAGAGGGUGACCGGCCACAUUGGGACUGAGAUACGGCCCAGACUCCUACGGGAGGCAGCAGUGGGGAAUAUUGCACAAUGGGCGGAAGCCUGAUGCAGCAACGCCGCGUGCGGGAUGACGGCCUUCGGGUUGUAAACCGCUUUCGCCUGUGACGAAGCGUGAGUGACGGUAAUGGGUGAAGAAGCACCGGCUAACUACGUG